UGAUGAUGUUGUGGACUCCCCCACCCC
rnacentral:piRNA from 1 species